rnacentral:rRNA from 1 species
UGGGGAAUAUUGCACAAUGGGCGCAAGCCUGAUGCAGCCAUGCCGCGUGUGUGAAGAAGGCCUUCGGGUUGUAAAGCACUUUCAGCGGGGAGGAAGGCGGUGAGGUUAAUAACCUCACCGAUUGACGUUACCCGCAGAAGAAGCACCGGCUAACUCCGUGCCAGCAGCCGCGGUAAUACGGAGGGUGCAAGCGUUAAUCGGAAUUACUGGGCGUAAAGCGCACGCAGGCGGUCUGUCAAGUCGGAUGUGAAAUCCCCGGGCUCAACCUGGGAACUGCAUUCGAAACUGGCAGGCUAGAGUCUUGUAGAGGGGGGUAGAAUUCCAGGUGUAGCGGUGAAAUGCGUAGAGAGCUGGAGGAAUACCGGUGGCGAAGGCGGCCCCCUGGACAAAGACUGACGCUCAGGUGCGAAAGCGUGGGGAGCAAACAGG